CGUUGUCCGGAAUUAUUGGGCGUAAAGAGCUCGUAGGCGGCUUGUCGCGUCGGAUGUGAAAGCCCCGGGGCUUAACCCCCCGGGUCUGCAUUCGAUACGGGCAGGCUAGAGUUCGGUAGGGGAGAUCGGAAUUCCUGGUGUAGCGGUGAAAUGCGCAGAUAUCAGGAGGAACACCGGUGGCGAAGGCGGAUCUCUGGGCCGAUACUGACGCUGAGGAGCGAAAGCGUGGGGAGCGAACAGGAUUAGAUACCCUGGUAGUCCACGCCGUAAACGUUGGGCACUAGGUGUGGGCGACAUUCCACGUCGUCCGUGCCGCAGCUAACGCAUUAAGUGCCCCGCCUGGGGAGUACGGCCGCAAGGCUAAAACUCAAAGGAAUUGACGGGGGCCCGCACAAGCAGCGGAGCAUGUGGCUUAAUUCGACGCAACGCGAAGAACCUUACCAAGGCUUGACAUACACCGGAAACGGCCAGAGAUGGUCGCCCCCUUGUGGUCGGUGUACAGGUGGUGCAUGGCU
rnacentral:rRNA from 1 species